AAUCAACGCUGGCGGCAUGCCUUACACAUGCAAGUCGAACGCGAAAGAGGGGCAACCCUUGAGUAGAGUGGCGAACGGGUGAGUAACGUAUCGGAACGUAUCCAGUAGUGGGGGAUAACCCAUCGAAAGAUGGGCUAAUACCGCAUACGCCCUGAGGGGGAAAGUGGGGGAUCCGCAAGGACCUCACGUUAUUGGAGAGGCCGAUGUCCGAUUAGCUAGUUGGCGGGGUAAGAGCCCACCAAGGCGACGAUCGGUAGCUGGUCUGAGAGGAUGAUCAGCCACACUGGGACUGAGACACGGCCCAGACUCCUACGGGAGGCAGCAGUGGGGAAUUUUGGACAAUGGGGGCAACCCUGAUCCAGCCAUGCCGCGUGAGUGAAGAAGGCCUUCGGGUUGUAAAGCUCUUUCGGCCGGAACGAAAUCGCAUCUCUUAACACGGGGUGUGGAUGACGGUACCGGAAGAAGAAGCACCGGCUAACUACGUGCCAGCCGCCGCGGUAAAAC
rnacentral:rRNA from 1 species